rnacentral:rRNA from 1 species
GCUAAAAACAUAGCCCAACCCCCCCCCCCCCAUGAACCUUAAAAUCAAUACCUUCUUUCCCCACACUAAAACAUUUUACCAACCCAGUAGAGGCGAUCGAAAAAUUUAUUGGAGCAAUAAAUGCUGUACCGCAAGGGAGAAGUGAAAUAAAAAUGAAAUAAACAAUUAAGCACAAAUAAGUAGAGACCCCCCCUCGUACCUUUCGCAUCAUGGUUUAACUAGUCAUAACCAAGCAGAAAGACUUUCAGUUUGACCCCCCGAAACUAGACGAGCUACUUCGAGGCAGCCUUUGGGCUAACCCGUCUCUGUCGCAAAAGAGUGGGAAGACCUCCAAGUAGGGGUGACAGACCUAACGAGCCUAGUGAUAGCUGGUUACCCAGGAAAAGAAUUUUAGUUCAACCUAAAGUUAGUUUAGCCGGAUAAAGCAAACCCUAUUCUUUAGAGUUAUUCAAAUAAGGUACAGCCUAUUUGAAACAGGACACAACCUACACCAACGGGUAAUUCCCCGACCUAAUAAAUAAGUGGGCCUAAGAGCAGCCACCUUUGAAAUAGCGUCAAAGCUUACUUUGUACAGUCCCCAAUCCCUCAACCCAAUAAAAACCCUUCAUUACUACUGGGUACCUCUAUACCUCCUUAUAGAACUUAUUAUGUUAAAACUAGUAACAAGAAGUUAACCCUUCUCUUAAAUGCAAGUGUACAUCAGAAUGGACCAACCACUGUUAAUUAACAUGCCUGAAAACAAAUUAGCAUCUCUGCUAGAAAACCCUACUUAACUCAAUGUUAACCUAACACAAGCGCAUUACAAGAAAGAUUAAAAGAAAAAGAAGGAACUCGGCAAACAUUAGCCUCGCCUGUUUACCAAAAACAUCGCCUCUUGCAUCUCAUAAGAGGUCCAGCCUGCCCAGUGACCAUGUUCAACGGCCGCGGUAUUCUGACCGCGUGAAGGUAGCGUAAUCACUUGUUCUUUAAAUAAGGACUAGUAUGAAUGGCAUCACGAAGGCUACACUGUCUCCUUUUUUCAAUCAGUGAAACUAAUCUCCCCGUGAAGAAGCGGGCAUGAAAAUAUAAGACGAGAAGACCCUAUGGAGCUUAAAACCACUUACAAUUGCUUUACACCUCUCACUAUCUCAGCAUAAUAACCUUUAACCUAGCGAUAUGAUUACGCGUUUUCGGUUGGGGCGACCGCGGGGGAAAAAACAACCCCCACAUUGAACGGAACUAAACCCUGAACAAAAAGCAACAACUUUAUGCACCAAUAUAUUGACACCCCUUGACCCAAUACUUUGAUCAAUGAACCAAGUUACCCUAGGGAUAACAGCGCAAUCCGCCUCAAGAGCCCCUAUCGACAGGCGGGUUUACGACCUCGAUGUUGGAUCAGGGUAUCCUAGUGGCGCAGCCGUUACUAAAGGUUCGUUUGUUCAACGAUUAAAACCCU